rnacentral:lncRNA from 1 species
CAAAAAGGAAUUUCCCUGUGUAGAUUAUUGUUUUAUGAGUUUUACUACAAUGUAACUUUUAUACUAUUUGGCUAUGUUCAGUUAUUAGGAAACUUUUAGGAUCUGCACAUGAAGUAACAGAAACCUGUGCAGAUAAUGAACAUAAUCUUUUAGAUUAGUGCUACUUAUUCUAAGUGUAAAGGAUACGCUUUAUAGUAUUUUUGUUAUAAUUACUUUCAUGUAAAUCCAAACUAUUAUAGUUACUGAAAUUAAUUGGACAUUUAUUUAAGCCAUUUAACAAAGCGGAGCUCCAUUUGCUAGGGUUCGCAGGUCAUGAGAUGAGGUAAACUAACUUGUAAUAAGGCGUCUAGAGGUUAGUCACGCUGAGCUCCUAUCGCACCGCAGUCGUAUUCUUGGUUUAUGUCGACGGCAAACAAAUACUAUAAUGAGUUAUUACUUAAUUAUUAUGCUUACUUUUUUUCCUUCGAUAUGUUGGUUUUUCUUUUAAUAGCUUACCACAUACUUAUAGUAUAAACAAACAGGAAUUUGGCUUUGUAAAUUAUUUUGCGCCUUUGCAUAUGAUCUGGCCAGAUUUGUACGUAAUGCUGAGGCUUGAAGCAUCACAAAAGCUUGUACAGAAUCAUGUGUAGUGGUUGGGUUCGAAUAUAUAGAUUGAGAUUUUUUUUCUUGCCGAAAGGAUUGCCCUUCUUCACAUAGCUGCAUCACGUCCACAACACAUGUUUUGUCGCAUGCACGUAUCAUACGCUGUUAGCCUUUGGAUUAGAUGUUCACGUUCUAGUACUCCCUCCGUUCCUAAAUAUUGUCUUUUUAGGUAUUCACGUUCUAGUACUCCCUCUGUUUAUAUUUCUUGAUGUCAUUUCUAGUAUGCAAUCAUAUGAGAUGUUUCAUGUAAAUUAAUAUGGGCUGCUAUCAAUUUUUUAAUCUGCAAUUGAUCUAGUGGUUUCAUUGUUGACCAAAAAGGAGAGUCAUAAUCGACCAUAUUUCUUGUAGUGGUUUCAUUGUCUUGCAGUUUUAGUUUGUUUUCAUCUCUUUACUCAACGCUGUUUCUUUUGGCGUAAUGCAGUGGGAUUGUUAACCCUUUCAUUUGCUUAGCUCCCGAGUAGAAUUUACAGGUUUGACUGAAUUGUGGAGAGGAAUGGCGAUUCGUUGCUGGUGUAGAGUCACGAGUGCUUGGAGAAGGUUGCCAAGACGGUCUCCUUCCUCGCGCAGCCUGAAGGCUCAUUCCUGCUGUUGCUCACAGGUAAUUCAGUUCUGAUGCAUCUGUUCUAAUACUUUUAUGGAGUUAUAUAUAGGGGCUGCUGAUUGUGUGCGUUUACUAGUUAGAUUUUGUUUGCAAUCAAGGGUGAACACUAUGAUCGUAGUAUCAUCUCCAUGACUGGAAAGUUUGUGCCUAUACCAUUGCUUCUUUCCUUCAGGCUUAAACAUUUGGUAUCACAUCUCAUUAGAGCGAGCGUGUGACCUAUGUAGCUCGGAUUACUUUGGAUUCAGCGCAACAUCGGCAACUUAUAUUUAUAAUUUGGAACCAAACAUCAUGUGCUUAUUCUUGUAUGUGAAUGUUCUCUUGAAAAUAUUAGCUAUAUUCUUU